AAAGUUCUAUGUGGAUAUCUUCAUUUGCAACAAUGUUAAUGGAGCUAGAGAGUAUAAUGCUAAGUGAAAUAAAUCAGUCAGAGAAAGACAAAUACCAUAUGAUUUCACUCAUAUGCGGAAUUUAAGAAACAAAACAAAUGAGC